rnacentral:rRNA from 1 species
ACACUAAAAGCUCGCUCCCACCAAAUUACUGAUCAAUUAAACUAAUCAUAAUUUUCAGAGAAGUACAGGUGAUAGAACCUCGAGAAAGGAGCAAUAGAGAAAUAGUAUCGCAAGAGAACGCUUCUAAUAAAUUUAAGAAGAGAUUAACCCUCGUCCCUUGUGUAUCAUGGCUUAGCAACCUAAUAAGUUAAAUUAUUAUUCCCGAAACUCAGUGAGCUACUAACCCCCAGUUUAGAACUAAUCAAUUCUUGUGGAAAAAAGAUUGAAAGAGGCUUUAGUAGAGACUAGAUAUCUGUCGCACUGAGUAAUAGCUGGUUUCUGGGGAAAUAUAUCAAAGUAUAGGGGAAGUAACAAUUCCACCUCUUGCUCAGGGGACAACCUCUAAGCAAUAUGAGUUCUGCAAUUUUUAACCUUGAUCAUACUCUAGGCUUAAAAACAGCCCUGAUAAGAAAACAAGUUUCAUUGUAUUGAGAAAUAUAGGUAUAAUUAUAAAUACGCAACCUUCAAGUACCCAGAAAUUCCGAUCAACAUCUAUCGGAGGAUAUUCUGCUAAGACGAGUAUAGGGCUAUAAGAGUCGAAAGACCCGUAAAAGCACUAAGAAAAUACAGAUAAGGAACUCGGCAAACACAAGCUCCGCCUGCUUAUCAAAAGCAUCGCCAUUCGCCAUCAUGAAAGGUAAGGCCUGCCCAGUGGGAUCUCAACGGCUGCGGUAUCUUGACCGUACUAAGGUAGCAUAAUCACUUGUCCCCUAAUUAGGGACUAGAAUCAAUGGCUAAACGAGAGCUUAACUGUCUCAUCUGUAAAAAUAAAAACUUACUUUCAAGUGAAAAGGCUUGAAUAAACCAGGAGGACAAGAAGACCCUAUGGAGCUUUAGGGGUUAAGUCUGUACAAAUCUAACAUUAAUGAAAAGAUCAAAAGACUAAUCACUUUGGUUGGGGCAACCGAAGUACACACAAACCACUUCUUCAAGAAAUGCCGAUAGGCAAAAAGAUAUUUCACAAAGAUCCUAGAGUAAAGAUCAUGAGAAUAAGUUACCCUAGGGAUAACAGCGUAAUUCUUCCUGAGAGCCCUUAUCGAAGGAAGAGGUUGCGACCUCGAUGUUGGA